rnacentral:rRNA from 1 species
AUACGGGGGGUGCAAGCGUUAAUCGGAAUUACUGGGCGUAAAGCGCGCGUAGGCGGUUAAAUAAGUUGGAUGGGAAAUCCCCGGGCUCAACCUGGGAACUGCAUUCAAAACUGUUUAACUAGAGUAUGGUAGAGGGAAGUGGAAUUCCAGGUGUAGCGGUGAAAUGCGUAGAUAUCUGGAGGAACAUCAGUGGCGAAGGCGACUUCCUGGAUCAAUACUGACGCUGAGGUGCGAAAGCGUGGGGAGCAAACAGGAUUAGAAACCCCAGUAGUCC